rnacentral:tRNA from 1 species
CGGAAUCGAACCGGGGGCCCAUCGAUGGCAACGAUGGAUUUUACCACUAAACCA